CCUACGGGAGGCUGCAGUGAGGAAUAUUGGUCAAUGGACGAGAGUCUGAACCAGCCAAGUAGCGUGAAGGAUGACUGCCCUAUGGGUUGUAAACUUCUUUUAUAUGGGAAUAAAACAGGGUACGCAUACCCUCUUGUAUGUACCAUAUGAAUAAGGAUCGGCUAACUCCGUGCCAGCAGCCGCGGUAAUACGGAGGAUCCGAGCGUUAGCCGGAUUUAUUGGGUUUAAAGGGAGCGUAGGUGGUUUGUUAAGUCAGUUUUGAAAGUUUGCGGCUCAACCGUAAAAUUGCAGUUGAUACUGGCAGUCGUGAGUACAGUAGAGGUAGGCGGAAUUCGUGGUGUAGCGGUGAAAUGCUUAGAUAUCACGAAGAACUCCGAUUGCGAAGGCAGCUCACUAAACUGCAACUGACACUGAUGCUCGAAAGUGUGGGUAUCAAACAGGAUUAGAUACCCGUGUAGUC
rnacentral:rRNA from 1 species